UAACUCAUCUAUGUGGCAAAAUAGUGAGAAGAUUUGUAAGUAGAGGUGACAUGCCUAACGAGCCUGGUGAUAGCUGGUUGUCCAGAAAAUGAAUCUAAGUUCAGCUUUAAAGAUACCAAAAAUUCAAAUAAACCCCACUGUAGCUUUAAAAGUUAGUCUAAAAAGGUACAGCCUUUUAGAAACGGAUACAACCUUGACUAGAGAGUAAAAUUUAACACUACCAUAGUAGGCCUAAAAGCAGCCAUCAAUUAAGAAAGCGUUAAAGCUCAACAACAAAAAUUAAAUAGAUUCCAACAACAAAUGAUUAACUCCUAGCCCCCAAUACUGGACUAAUCUAUUAUAGAAUAGAAGCAAUAAUGUUAAUAUGAGUAACAAGAAAAAUUUUCUCCUUGCAUAAGUCUAAGUCAGUGCCUGAUAAUACUCUGACCACUAACAGUCAAUAAAAAUAAUCCAACAAUAAACAAUUUAUUGAUUAUACUGUUAACCCAACACAGGAGUGCAUCUAAGGAAAGAUUAAAAGAAGUAAAAGGAACUCGGCAAACACAAACCCCGCCUGUUUACCAAAAACAUCACCUCCAGCAUUCCCAGUAUUGGAGGCAUUGCCUGCCCAGUGACAACUGUUUAACGGCCGCGGUAUCCUGACCGUGCAAAGGUAGCAUAAUCAUUUGUUCUCUAAAUAAGGACUUGUAUGAAUGGCCGCACGAGGGUUUUACUGUCUCUUACUUCCAAUCAGUGAAAUUGACCUUCCCGUGAAGAGGCGGGAAUGCACAAAUUAGACGAGAAGACCCUAUGGAGCUUUAACUAACCAACCCAAAGAGAAUAGAUUUAACCAUUAAGGAAUAACAACAAUCUCCAUGAGUUGGUAGUUUCGGUUGGGGUGACCUCGGAGAAUAAAAAAUCCUCCGAGCGAUUUUAAAGACUAGACCCACAAGUCAAAUCACUCUAUCGCUCAUUGAUCCAAAAACUUGAUCAACGGAACAAGUUACCCUAGGGAUAACAGCGCAAUCCUAUUCAGAGUCCAUAUCGACAAUAGGGUUUACGACCUCGAUGUUGGAUCAGGACAUCCUGAUGGUGCA
rnacentral:rRNA from 1 species